rnacentral:rRNA from 1 species
ACCCGCUGAACUUAAGCAUAUCAAUAAGCGGAGGAAAAGAAACCAACAGGGAUUGCUCUAGUAACGGCGAGUGAAGCGGCAACAGCUCAAAUUUGAAAUCUGGCUCUUUCAGGGUCCGAGUUGUAAUUUGCAGAGGGCGCUUUGGCGUUGGCAGCGGUCCAAGUUCUUUGGAACAGGACGUCACAGAGGGUGAGAAUCCCGUACGUGGUCGCUAGCCUUCGCCGUGUAAAGCCCCUUCGACGAGUCGAGUUGUUUGGGAAUGCAGCUCUAAAUGGGAGGUAAAUUUCUUCUAAAGCUAAAUACUGGCCAGAGACCGAUAGCGCACAAGUAGAGUGAUCGAAAGAUGAAAAGCACUUUGGAAAGAGAGUCAAAUAGCACGUGAAAUUGUUGAAAGGGAAGCGCUUGCAGCCAGACUUGCCUGUAGUUGCUUAUCCGGACUUUUGUCCGGUGCACUCUUCUGCGGGCAGGCCAGCAUCAGUUUGGGCGGUUGGAUAAAGGUCUCUGUCAUGUACCUCCUUUCGGGGAGGCCUUAUAGGGGAGACGACAUGCAACCAGCCUGGACUGAGGUCCGCGCAUCUGCUAGGAUGCUGGCGUAAUGGCUGUAAGCGGCCCGUCUUGAAACACGG